rnacentral:rRNA from 1 species
AGAAUCAACGCUGGCGGCGUGCCUAACACAUGCAAGUCGAACGAGAAAGUGGAGCAAUCCAUUAGUAAAGUGACGCACGGGUGAGUAACACGUGGCUAACCUACCCUUGAGUGGGGGAUAACCUAGAGAAAUCUGGGCUAAUACCGCAUAAUACCUUCGGGUCAAAGGAGCAAUUCGCUUAAGGAGGGGGUCGCGGCCGAUUAGUUAGUUGGCGGGGUAAUGGCCCACCAAGACUAUGAUCGGUA